CGACCCAUCAGCUAGUUGGUAAGGUAACGGCCUACCAAGGCGACGACGGGGUAGGGGGCCUGAGAGGGUGGCCCCCCACACUGGCACUGAAACACGGGCCAGACACCUACGGGUGGCAGCAGUAGGGAAUAUUGCACAAUGGGCGCAAGCCUGAUGCAGCAACGCCGCGUGCGCGAUGAAGGCCUUCGGGUCGUAAAGCGCUUUUCUGGAGGAUGAGCAAGGACAGUACUCCAGGAAGAAGUCUCGGCUAACUACGUGCCAGCAGCCGCGGUAAAACGUAGGAGACAAGCGUUAUCCGAAUUUACUGGGCGUAAAGCGCGUGCAGGUGGUUUCGGUAAGUUGCCUGUGAAAUCUCCUGGCUCAACUGGGAGAGGCCCGGGCAAGACUGCCCGGCUAGAGGGCGGUUGAGGGAGGUGGAAUUCCCGGUGUAGUGGUGAAAUGCUGAUUUCGGAAGACCCUUUGCGAAAGCGCCUCCUGACCGUACCUGAGUUCAGACGCGAAAAGUUAGGGAGUGAACGGAUUAGAAACCCCGGUAUUCUUAGCGUAAACGAUGUGACUUGGUUCGUUGGGUUAAAGCCAUCGUGCCGAGCCAACGCGAUAAGUUCACCGCCUUGGGGACUACGGCCGCAAGGUUAAAACUCAAAGAAUUGACCGGGGCCCGCCACAAGCAGCGGAGCGUGUGGUUUAAUUCGGUGCUAUACGAAGAACCCUUACCCGGGUUUGACAUACAGGUGGUAGGGAAGCGAGAGCCCGACCCGACCCUUUCGGGAAGCCUGUACAGGUGCUGCAUGGCUGUCGUCAGCUCGUGUCGUGAGAUGUCCGGUUAAGUCCGAUAACGAGCGCAACCCUCGCCGUAUGUUAGCGAUGUCAUACGGGACUGCCGGUAUCAAGCCGGAGGAAGGUGGGGAUGACGUCAAGUCAGCAUGGCCUUUAUGUCCGGGGCUACACACACGCUACAAUGGCCGGUACAAUGGGUUGCAAAGCCGCGAGGUGGAGCCAAUCCCCAAAGCCGGUCUCAGUUCAGAUUGCAGGCUGCAACCCGCCUGCAUGAAGCCGGAGUUGCUAGUAACCGCGCGUCAGCAUUAGUGCGGUGAAUACGUUCCCGGGCCUUGUACACACCGCCCGUCACGUCAUGGGAGCUGGUAACACCUGAAGCCGGUAGCCGAACCGCAAGGAAGGCGCUGUCGAGGGUGGGACUGGUGACUGGGACGAAGUCGUAACAAGGUAGGUGUACCGGAAGGUGCGGCUGGAUCACCUCCUU
rnacentral:rRNA from 1 species